AGUGGAAAAAGCAUAUUUCUUCUUGCAGCUAUAAAGUUAAUGAGGCUAAAAUCCACCACCCCCGUUAAUUUAAUGCCAUGUAAACACAAUUAAACUAACGUACGACUUAAUAAUAACUGUAUUGCACCGUCACAGACUCCACUCCGUGUUUACACUCCGUGAAUAUUCAAAGUUUUCAGAAAUGCAUGACUGUCAUAUUGGCUUUACUCACUAUAACAGUCAAGCCUUUUCAAAAUGUCAAAUAUUCAUUGUGCAAAUCUGUGCUUCUCUGUGUCUCGUUCAUUGUAAUCGUUUGUGCAGGGAAGAAGAUUGCGUGGUGGUCUAAAACGGGACUAAAACAAACAAUCAAAAGGGUUUCCUCCAUGGUUAUUUCUUGCUGGAUAUCGAUGCUUUUGACUCCAUGAUGAAAAAAAAUCACCGUUGCUGGACUCGGCUGAGAGAUGUGUGACCUUCAAGGAGAGGAGGAUGCAUGACAGGAACUUCACAGGAAGAGAAAAGGUCAGCCAACAGGAACAUGAGAGUGCCAACAGAGCU